rnacentral:rRNA from 1 species
GAUGAACGCUGGCGGCGUGCCUAAUACAUGCAAGUCGAGCGAACAGAUGAGGAGCUUGCUCCUCUGACGUUAGCGGCGGGCGGGUGAGUAACACGUGGAUAAUCUACCUAUCAGACUGGGAUAACCUCGGGAAACCGGCGCUAAUCCCGGAUAAUCUCCUGAACCGUAUGGUUCAAUAGUGAAAGACGGUUUUGCUGUCACUUCUAGAUGGAUCCGCGCUGCAUUAGCUAGUUGGUAAGGUAAAGGCUUAUCAAGGCAAGGAUGCGUAGCCGACCGAGGAGGCGGAUAGUCCACAUUGGAGGGGGGACAGCGACCAUGGUCCUAAGGAAGGCAGCAGUAUGUAAUCGUCCGCAGCAGGCGAAAGCCUGACGGAGCGACCGCACGUGUGUGAUGGUGACCUUCGGUGCGUGAAGCUCUCUUAUUAGGUAUGAACCGAUUUGGAAUUAACUAUGCACGUCUUGACGGUACUUAAUCAGAAAGCGACGGCUAACUACGUG